rnacentral:rRNA from 1 species
AAAUUGAAGAGUUUGAUCAUGGCUCAGAUUGAACGCUGGCGGCAGGCCUAACACAUGCAAGUCGAACGGUAACAGGAAGCAGCUUGCUGCUUUGCUGACGAGUGGCGGACGGGUGAGUAAUGUCUGGGAAACUGCCUGAUGGAGGGGGAUAACUACUGGAAACGGUGGCUAAUACCGCAUAACGUCGCAAGACCAAAGAGGGGGACCUUCGGGCCUCUUGCCAUCAGAUGUGCCCAGAUGGGAUUAGCUUGUUGGUGAGGUAACGGCUCACCAAGGCGACGAUCCCUAGCUGGUCUGAGAGGAUGACCAGCCACACUGGAACUGAGACACGGUCCAGACUCCUACGGGAGGCAGCAGUGGGGAAUAUUGCACAAUGGGCGCAAGCCUGAUGCAGCCAUGCCGCGUGUAUGAAGAAGGCCUUCGGGUUGUAAAGUACUUUCAGCGGGGAGGAAGGUGUUGUGGUUAAUAACCGCAGCAAUUGACGUUACCCGCAGAAGAAGCACCGGCUAACUCCGUGCCAGCAGCCGCGGUAAUACGGAGGGUGCAAGCGUUAAUCGGAAUUACUGGGCGUAAAGCGCACGCAGGCGGUCUGUCAAGUCGGAUGUGAAAUCCCCGGGCUCAACCUGGGAACUGCAUUCGAAACUGGCAGGCUUGAGUCUUGUAGAGGGGGGUAGAAUUCCAGGUGUAGCGGUGAAAUGCGUAGAGAUCUGGAGGAAUACCGGUGGCGAAGGCGGCCCCCUGGACAAAGACUGACGCUCAGGUGCGAAAGCGUGGGGAGCAAACAGGAUUAGAUACCCUGGUAGUCCACGCCGUAAACGAUGUCUACUUGGAGGUUGUGCCCUUGAGGCGUGGCUUCCGGAGCUAACGCGUUAAGUAGACCGCCUGGGGAGUACGGCCGCAAGGUUAAAACUCAAAUGAAUUGACGGGGGCCCGCACAAGCGGUGGAGUAUGUGGUUUAAUUCGAUGCAACGCGAAGAACCUUACCUGGUCUUGACAUCCACAGAAGAAUCCAGA